AUUGAACGCUGGCGGCAGGCCUAACACAUGCAAGUCGAACGAGUGGCGGACGGGUGAGUAAUGUCUGGGAAACUGCCCGAUGGAGGGGGAUAACUACUGGAAACGGUAGCUAAUACCGCAUACCAUCGGAUGUGCCCAGAUGGGAUUAGCUAGUAGGUGGGGUAUCGCCUCACCUGGGCGACGAUCCCUAGCUGGUCUGAGAGGAUGACCGGCCAAACGGGAACUAGGACACGGUCCAGACUCCUACGGGGGGCAGCAGUGGGAAAUUUUGCACAUUGGGCACAAGCCUGAGGCAUCCCUGCCGCGUGUAGGAAGAGGGCCUUCGGGUUGUAAGGUACUUUCAGCGAGGAGGCGUUACUCGCAGAAGAAGCAACGGCUAACUCCGUGCCAGCAGCCGCGGUAAUAC
rnacentral:rRNA from 1 species